GUUUCAAAUUGGUUUGUAUGUAUUAAAAACAUUCAGUGACUUGGGAUUUCAAAAUAAAAAACAUAGAUGCCAAAGGAGAUGACCUGCAUGAAAACUGACAGGCUUCUCUCCAACUGGAUCUACAAAAGGUGCACAAGGGUUAAUGAGGACAUUUUAAAGGAGGUGUGCACUUUUGAAAUACUCAUUGUGACAACAAGUCAGCUACAACCUCCCAAAAUUGUUCAAUAAUGAUCCUUCCGCAGGUUCACCUACGGAAA
rnacentral:misc_RNA from 1 species